UUUCUCCUUCCAGACUUCUUUCACGUAAACUGUUGUCAGCAUUCACGCAUGGUGGACCAUCAGAAGAUGAAUCAGUCUCCAACACUCGUAUAACACUAUAAUUUUUUGAGGGAAAUCACGAAGUUAUAGAUGUUUACCCUACUCCUUCUGGAUUUAUUUCAUGUGAACUGUUGACAACAUUCACACCUGAUUGACCAUCUGAAGGUGAAU